UACAACUUGGAAUGGAUGUAAAUUGCAAUUUCUUGAACAGCAAUGUUGAUGGUUGUGCUGAAGUCCAUGGCCACUGCCUACUUCUGCUGGCUCCAAGUCACAGUUCAGAAGGUUUUGAAACAGAGAGUCCAAAGAUGCUCCCUUGGUAAAGUUUCUUUUUAAAAACUGUGUGUGAAUGGUGGGA